rnacentral:lncRNA from 1 species
AAUAAUUCAUUAAGUAAUAAGUGGUUUGUGUUAUGUAGCCUCUCGUUCAAUCUAACAAAUAAAUUGUGGAUCAAAAUGUUUUUUUUAAGCAAAUUGAUAAAUUCCAUGAUUUUAGUUUAAAGCCUCUUUGUUUAGUCGGUUUCCUUAACAUUGGCUGGGAGUUUUUAAUGGGAAGAAAAGAAAAGAAAGAGAAAAGAGGAAGAAAAAAAAAAAGAGUUAGAGAAAGUGAGGUAAUUUUCUUUAGUCUUGUCUAGGAGUUUGUGAAGAAAAAAGAAAGUGAGUUAAUAUAUUUUCUUCAGUAGAGUUGAGAAUUAAGCAAAGGAAAAAAAAAAGGUACACUUUUACUAAUAUAUAUACCCUUUUUAUAUGGAAUAAAGUUGAGCAUGUUUUUGAUCUUAGCUUUCUUUUAUUUCCCUUUCUUUUCUAGAUCUCCAAAGAAAAACUCAAAGACAGGGUGUAAGAGUGUAUAUUAUGUUAAAGUGAAAUAACAGCACUUCUACCCAAUAUUCGAUUGGCU